rnacentral:rRNA from 1 species
UACGUAGGUGACAAGCGUUGUCCGGAUUUACUGGGCGUAAAGAGCGCGCAGGCGGUCGGUCAAGUCGAGUGUGAAAGCCCCCGGCUCAACUGGGGAGGGUCAUUCGAUACUGAUCGACUCGAAGGCAGGAGAGGGUAGUGGAAUUCCCGGUGUAGUGGUGAAAUGCGUAGAUAUCUGGAGGAACACCGGUGGCGAAGGCGGCAUCCUGGACCAACACUGACGCUGAGUGAGCGAAAGCCAGGGGAGCAAACGGG